rnacentral:misc_RNA from 1 species
AACGCAUCUUGCGCUCCUUGGUAUUCCGAGGAGCAUGCCUGUUUGAGUGUCGUGAACCUCUCAAUCCCGUUUCAUUUUUGUGAAGCGGGUUUGGAUUUGGACGCUGCCGUGGCUCGCGCUUCGGCUCGUCUUGAAAUGCAUCAGCUGGUCCGCCGCCCGAGUUCAACAACGGUGUGAUAAGAAACGCUUCGUGACUGUGGCGCCGUGUUACGUUGGCUCGAGCGAGGGUCGCUUCCAAUCGUCUUCGGACAAACUCAUGUCAUCUGACCUCAAAUCAGGUAGGACUACCCGCUGAACUUAA